UACGUAGGGUGCGAGCGUUAAUCGGAAUUACUGGGCGUAAAGCGUGCGCAGGCGGUUCGUUGUGUCGGUGGUGAAAGCCCCGGGCUUAACCUGGGAAUGGCCAUGGAAACUGGCGAACUGGAGUGUGGCAGAGGGGGGUGGAAUUCCGCGUGUAGCAGUGAAAUGCGUAGAGAUGCGGAGGAACACCGAUGGCGAAGGCAGCCCCCUGGGCUAGCACUGACGCUCAGGCACGAAAGCUAGGGGAGCGAAUGGG
rnacentral:rRNA from 1 species